CGGACGGGUGAGUAACGCGUGAAUUACAUGCCCUUCAGAGGGGGAUAGCCCAGGGAAACUUGGAUUAAUACCCCAUGGUCUCGCAAGAGUAAAGGUGGCCGCAAGGCUGUCGCUGAAGGAUUGGUUCGCGCCCUAUCAGCUUGUUGGCGGGGUAACGGCCCACCAAGGCUACGACGGGUACCUGGUCUGAGAGGACGAUCAGGCACACUGGAACUGAGACACGGUCCAGACACCUACGGGUGGCAGCAGUCGAGAAUAAUUCACAAUGGGGGCAACCCUGAUGGUGCAACGCCGCGUGGAGGAUGACGGUCUUCGGAUUGUAAACUCCUGUCAUCCGGGAGUAAGACCUGGCUGUGAACAGCAGACAGGGUUGAUAGUACCGGAAGAGGAAGGGACGGCUAACUUCGUGCCAGCAGCCGCGGUAAUACGAAGGUCCCGAGCGUUGUUCGGAAUCACUGGGCGUAAAGGGAGCGUAGGCGGCGUGGUAAGUCAGAUGUGAAAUCCCGGGGCUCAACCCCGGAACUGCAUCCGAUACUGCCGUGCUAGAGGAUUGGAGAGGUAGCUGGAAUUCUUGGUGUAGCAGUGAAAUGCGUGGAUAUCAAGAGGAACACUCGUGGCGAAAGCGAGCUACUGGACAACUCCUGACGCUGAGGCUCGAAGGCCAGGGUAGCGAAAGGGAUUAGAUACCCCUGUAGUC
rnacentral:rRNA from 1 species